AGUGAACGCUGGCGGUAGGCCUAACACAUGCAAGUCGAACGGCAGCACAGUAAGAGCUUGCUCUUACGGGUGGCGAGUGGCGGACGGGUGAGGAAUACAUCGGAAUCUACUUUUUCGUGGGGGAUAACGGAGGGAAACUUACGCUGAUACCGCAUACGACCUACGGGUGAAAGCAGGGGAUCUUCGGACCUUGCGCGAUUGAAUGAGCCGAUGUCGGAUUAGCUAGUUGGCGGGGUAAAGGCCCACCAAGGCGACGAUCCGUAGCUGGUCUGAGAGGAUGAUCAGCCACACUGGAACUGAGACACGGUCCAGACUCCUACGGGAGGCAGCAGUGGGGAAUAUUGGACAAUGGGCGCAAGCCUGAUCCAGCCAUACCGCGUGGGUGAAGAAGGCCUUCGGGUUGUAAAGCCCUUUUGUUGGGAAAGAAAAGCAGCAGGUUAAUACCCCGCUGUUCUGACGGUACCCAAAGAAUAAGCACCGGCUAACUUCGUG
rnacentral:rRNA from 1 species